GUUGUGUGGAAGCUUUUUAGUUUGAUGUCCUUUCACUUUUCUAUUGUUGCAUUUGUUGCCAAUGUUUUUAAUGUCAUAUUAACAUUGAUUCUUAAAAUUCAAACAAACCUUUAAAAUUAUUUUUCUCUCAUUCUCUUUAAUAUGUGCUAACAAAUCUAGGUGUAAGAAAACUCCUAUGCUAUUAUAAAAACACAAAUUUAUAAUCUAAGUUUAUACAAUUAAAUGCAAUUUAAUAUCAGUGUAACAAAUGAUGUGUUGCCCAAACCGUUUCUUGUAAAGUGAAUAUGACAGAAUGCUGUAAUAUGGAUUCCUGAAUUCAGCAUCCUACUAUCAUGUUGCACUUUUUCAGACCACUACAAGUCUUUAUAUUGACUCUUUUACACCCUAACAUUUCACUGUGAGUUACUGUCACCUCUGUUCUCUGACCAGGGACAAUCAAAGUUUUCCCAUGUAAGGAUAAACAACAGACCAAUGUAAACAAUGCAAACAGAGAUACUUAAAUCACAGGCAUUUCAUUGUGAUUUAAACAAAAGUUUAAAUUUUCCAGAAAAACCUCACAGACUUUUAAAUUGAAAUGUAUAGACCUUAAAAAAAAUUAAAAAAAAAGAAAUGUAUAGACCUUAAUUUGAGAGGCUUUAGCCAUAGAAGAUAAGAGCCCAAGUGUUUUACGUAUGUUGACCUAUCAAACGUCAUGGAUUGCCUUUGUGGGCACUGGUUUAUGCCUCCCCCAACACUUCCUUUCAAUCAGAAGUGUACUGAUUUGGGUGAUAAAGUAUAAAGUUAUAUACUCUGUUUAUAAGCCAGUCCAGUCCUAGGAAUUUUCCUUUUUUUUUUUUCUUUUUAUGACAGAGACUUGCUAAGGUUGGCCUUGAACCCUUCUGCCUUAGCUUCCUGAGUAGCUGGAAUUACCCAGCUGACCUAGGGUUAUAAUCAGGAAAAACCUGUGUCAUAGCAAUAGGAAAUAAGAAACAGAAUAAAAUGUCAUUUAUAGAAGUUUCACAGACCUCCCUCAGGAAGCAUACCUAUUCCAAACUGAGAGGUGCUUCGGAGGUCAAUACAAACAGAAAUAUUGUUCUGAUUUCCUUUUGUGACUCAGAGACUUAAAUGGUUCCCUCUACUCCAUGUGUCUCCAAAACACCCUUCAAAAAUUCAGGCUAUAAAUAAGAAAAUAUAGUAAAAGUUUUAUUAUAAUUAGGUUCCUCUAAUAUCUGAGGUCAUUUUAGGGUAGGAGGAGAAAGACUUCUGAAAGGGUCACAUUUACUGAGAAAAAUUAGAAUAUAGUACAGCAGUUUUGUAACCAUAUGAUAUAAUUUGGCUGACAUUGUGGCUAGGGGUUGCUACAUAACAAAAUGACUCUUCAAUGCCAAGUCUCAAGACUAAAUUCAGUUGCCAACAUGACUUCAGAUGUCUCAGUGUGAACAAUAAUGAGAAAAUGGCAUGAAAUAGUGAUUUUUAAGGAGACUGAGAAAGAUUUCUCUAAAAAAUAUAUAAAGCAUUUGAGAAAAACUAUGUGUGGGUGUGUAUCUGUGUGUGGGUGUGUGAACUGGACCAAAUCCAAGAAUCCAAGUGGUUCACAAACUGAAAUAUGCUGACACUGGUUUGUUGGAGCAAAAGUAACGUAAGCAUUCUGGCAAUCUUGAGUCCUCAUUCCUUCAGAGGAUGACUAUUAUUAGUAUUAUUUUGUAUUUAUCAAGCUCCAAACUGGGGCAACUUGUCAUAAUGGGAAGGGAAGAAAGAGGGGGAAAUGCGCCAUCUGUCCCUGGCACUGGCAUUCAGUUCAUGGAAAAUAUUUAAAAGUUGUCAGUCAGAAGGUUUGGGAAGUUUCAUAUGAUUUUAAAAGGUCUUACUGCCCUAGAAAGAAAUCAAUUCAAUUUAAUAAACAUCUAUUCUGACUUUGUUGGAUGCUUGCAGGAUACAAAAAUAAAUAAAACUGGGUCUGUUGGCAAGGAUUUGCAUUUUAGUAAGCUAAAUUUUUCUAUGUGCAGUUACUUGAGCACAACCUUCAAAAUUUUUGUCAUAUCUUCUGAAUUC
rnacentral:lncRNA from 1 species